GGCUCUUUGAUUGGUGGUAGAGAUAUUCAUCUCCAGUGACAUUCUUCUACUCAUUGUCUUCAGCGUUACCCUGGUGGUACUGCAUAUCCAUGGAGAGACUAUGCUGUAAAGGAAAGGGUCUCAGAAUCUUCUUCCUCUAGGGUUUCAUGGUCCCUGAGAAAUGAUCUUGGAUCCUUGACCUUUUAAUUUGUUCUUUUCCAUUCUAGAUGAAAGGAGGAGUGAUACACAAGGGAAGAAUUGAGGAUGACUCAGAGAUUACAAUCCCAGCUGAGUGGAAGGAUGGUGGUCCCCUUAAAAUAAAGAGGAAAAGAAGAGAUU